UACAGAGGUCCCAAGCGUUGUUCGGAUUCAUUGGGCGUAAAGGGUGCGUAGGCGGUGCCGCAAGUCAGAUGUGAAAUCUCGGGGCUUAACCCCGAAACUGCAUUCGAUACUGCGGUGCUUGAGGACUGGAGAGGAGACUGGAAUUCAUGGUGUAGCAGUGAAAUGCGUAGAGAUCAUGAGGAAGACCAGUGGCGAAGGCGGGUCUCUGGACAGUUCCUGACACUGAGGCACGAAGGCCAGGGGAGCAAACGGG
rnacentral:rRNA from 1 species